rnacentral:rRNA from 1 species
AUGGACGUUCUGACGCAGGAGCUCGCUGUCGACCGCGCCCGAUGUCGCCAGCCUCCUGAAUCCGUCGCCGCCGCCAAGUACCUCGCCGGAGAACGGUGCCCCGCACCUGGAACCGCUCGUCUCCGCCGCCGCUGCCGCUCUGAACCUCUCGUCCCGCUGUUGUUUCUGUUCUUCAGAAGACGAGAGCAGCAGCGCCUCGUCCUGCUCCUCGCGUUGACCGCACAUGGCCUCGCCUGGGCCACCCCUCCGGCGCCUCUAGAUCCGGCCCAGCAGCGCCCCGGCCUGCUUCCCCUUCGACUCGGCCCAAGGCCACUAGUUGCAGGUGCCGAUGAUACCAGUACAGGUGACGCAACCCAGCACAAGUGGGAGCUCGAAGAAGAUCUUGUUCGUUGUGUUGUUUCGUUUCUGGUUGAUCAAUAG